CCUUAACCCACUUAGCGAGACCAGGGAUCGAACCCGCAACCUCAUGGUUCCUAGUCGGAUUCGUUAACCACUGCGCCAUUACGGGAACUCCAGCUCUUUAAUAAUUUAAAUGCUUCCUUUCAACCAGUAUUUCUGGAAUUAGGGCUAAUAAAAUUGUGGUGUGUUUUGUUUUGAGCAGGCAGCAGCAAUUCUGGGAUGUAGUGAAAUAGCCAAGGGCCCCCUUUACUAGCUUGUUUUGUGCACUGGUGUUGCGUGAGUGCCGUUAGAACCAAAACAAAUCAUUAAGUUACAAUGAGAAGCAAAAAGUGUUCAUCUAAAAAUGCAGGUUCUGGAGUUCCCGUCGUGGCUCAGCAGUAAAGAACCCGACUGUUGUCCAAGAGGACGCGGCUUAUCCCUGGCCUUGCUCAGUGGGUUAAGGAUCCGGAAUUGCCCGGAGCUGUGGUGUAGGUCGCAGACUUGGCUGUGAUAUGGUGUGGCUGUGGAACACGCUGGCAGCUUCAGCUCUGACUGGACCUCUAGCCUGGGAAUUUACAUAUGCGGCGGGUGCGGCCCUGAACAGAUUAAAAAUAAAAAUGCAGGUUCUCUUAGGACUGACAGGGUGCAGAAUACUGGUAACACCUGUGUGUCUCCGCCCUUCCUCACUUUAAGCAUCUAAACCCGCGGGACAAUGAAUGCGGUUUACUUUCCAGGGGAGGCGUGCACUUACCUGGGAGCCUUUACAACAACGAAUGGGACUGGGUAACCGAGUUUGCCGCCUGAGACUUGAGGUAGUGCCUGGCUUAGCCAAGGUCACGUCUCCGCCGGCCCCAGGUGUCACCUUGGAGCCCUUACUCACCCGCAAGCUGGGCAGCGCCCGGAAGCAGCGUUACGAGCGGAGAACAAGUAUACGGCUUCUUCCCGGCCCGGCGUCUGCGGGCCGCCCCUCAGGCGGGGCGGGGCUUCCGGUCAGCACGGAGCCACUUCCGGCGCGGUCGGCCGCGGGAACCCCGGCGGGGCGGGGCGGAGAGCUGCUGCGGUGGGUGGGGCGUGCUCCCGACCUUGGGGCUGAUGCAUCCCUCUGCUUCCAAGUGUCGCGGUCAUGCAGAACUACCUGAUCGGUCGUCUCAGGCCUCUCUCUGCUCCCUUGCGGGCCUGGUUUACUUAUUCAGCGGAACUGGCCCCCUUCGGAGGAGUGGGCGGGGCCCGGUGUGGAGCCGGGCGCGGUGGUGCAGAGGCCGCGGUAGUCAGGGGAGGAUGGCGGUACAAAGGAGCUCUGUAUUCGUCGGCCCUCUGGGGGAUACAGCGAGGUAGAAGCCUUGGCCCCGUUCUGAACCAGUUGACCAAAAAUCCCGAGCAAAGCGCUCCAGUGAGAGGAGGGAGAGACAGCUGUCAGCUGGAGCUGCUGAAUGCAGCGCGAAGGAUGGAAGGAUGCUGAUUUGAGCUGGGCGUGAUUUGGAAGAUCCAGGGAAGGACAUUCCAGGUCCCGGACAGCCAAAGCGAAGUCUCACAGGAUUCUGCCCUGCCCUUCAGCUCUGCAUCUGAUGGCCAGCAUCUGGGGGAUCUUGUUUUCCUAAGAUUGUUGGAAUUCCUGUUAUCAUCAUAUGAAGUCUUCCCCUGGCGUCAUCAGCUUCCUGUAUCCAGGAGCUGUUCUAACUAAGGAACCUCAGUGCAGACACCUGAAUAUCACAUUCUCUGCCUGAAGAAUUCUCCGAUCUUGGUAGAGUGUGGACCCUUUUGAGAUCUUGCUUUUUGGCAUGAUCAUUUCUGACAUACCUCUGUGUCCAUUGGUGUAAUUUUUUCUUUUUGGAAACAGACUGAGCUGCUUCUGCCCAGAGCCAUCAAGGCUGUACCUGAAACUGUCUCCUGACCUUGGAGUGCUCAAGUUCACAUGGACUCUCCACUUUGUUCUGGAGAUAGGUGGGCUCCGGCUCAGGCAGCAUCAAGACAAGCCAGGCCUGCAGACCUCCCCAAGGGACAAAAGCCCUCCUCCUCACCCACGAAGGUGGGCUCAUCCUGCUGGAUAUGAGACCUUCCCUUUACCUCUGCUAUCUUUUCUCUGUGUAAGAUUCACAUGACUCCCGCUCAGUCAUGGAUGUGGGCACGCCUCCGUGCCCGGGACCUCCACCGUCUCUUCCCCAGUCCUGCUGCAACUGCUCCGUAGCCCAGGCCCCACGACAUAACCGUCCCUGUGGCAGCAGCUGGUAGAUAAGACCAAAGGAUAUGACCAAAGAUUGGAAGGGUUAGGCCUCUCAGGAGGAUUGCCCCAGGGGCGCGAUGCUGGCAGGUUAUGAGAACGAGAUGCCUCAGGGAUCCUUCUUGCACUUCUCCAUGACGAGAUCUGGAAGGGACUCCCCUGGUGUCUCGAAUACAAGGGAAAUAGAGACACGUAACAUGAGAGCAAAGGUUCCUUUUUUUUUUUCCUUUUUUUUUUUGGUCUUUUUGCCUUUUGAGGGCCGCUCCUGCGGCAUAUGGAGGU